AGGAAAUUGGACUUGGAGGUCAGCGAACCAAUAGACUUUGGUUCUGGAGGUCAUCAACAUCUGAUUCGGGAAGCAGCAGAUAAAAGCAUCCAGUACCAAUCUGGUGAGCACUACACACCUUCAUCUUCAGCUGGGCCACAAGAAACUCGGGAGAAGCCAUGGCCAAAGGACACCGAGCAGUUGAAUACCUGUGUGAUAGAAAUUUCAGAUGACGUCACCCCAGGUGAUAACAAUGCAACUUUAGGCAAUCCUUUCUCAGACGCAUCUGUCCGCAGAGCUUUCAUUAUCAAAGUGUUCUUCCUCCUGUCAGUUCAGUUGUUGCUCACUGCGGUAAUUACCAGUGUGUUUAUUUUCUGCUCAGCAUUUUUUGCCAUACUUAUUAUACUUGAUUGCUGUGGGAAUCUCCGCCGUCAGGUGCCUGCAGAGUACAUUCUCCUGGGAUUCUUUACAGCUCUUCAAGGUCUGCUGCUAGGAGCCGUAUCAGUUUUCUACAAGGCCGAGGAAGUGUUAUGGGCAACAGCUGCAACCACUCUGGUGACGCUAGCACUCACUUUGUUUGCUCUACAAACAAAAUGGGAUUUUACCUGGCUAAAUGGAGCACUGUUCGUUUUCUGCUUCGUGCUUUUAAUCUAUGGAAUUACCUUAAUCUUCGUGCGAUCAUAUUGGCUGCAUCUAUUAUAUGCUGGACUCGGAACUGUGCUCUUCUCACUCUACUUGGUGAUCGAUGUGCAGCUCAUGCUGGGAGGGCACCGCCAUUAUUCCCUGGACCCUGAAGGGUAUGUUUUUGCUGUCCUGAACAUCCACUUGGACAUCAUCGACCUUUUCAUUUUUAUUCUGCGUCUGAUUGGACGGGGA
rnacentral:sRNA from 1 species